rnacentral:rRNA from 1 species
GAUCCUACGGGAGGCAGCAGUGGGGAAUAUUGCACAAUGGGGGAAACCCUGAUGCAGCGACGCCGCGUGAGUGAAGAAGUAUUUCGGUAUGUAAAGCUCUAUCAGCAGGGAAGAAGAAGGACGGUACCUGAGUAAGAAGCCCCGGCUAACUACGUGCCAGCAGCCGCGGUAAUACGUAGGGGGCAAGCGUUAUCCGGAUUUACUGGGUGUAAAGGGAGCGUAGACGGCGAAGAAAGUCUGAAGUGAAAGCCCGCGG